AUAGGGUGCAUAGCCUCUCACUAGUUUUGGACGCACUCUGUUAAUAUCCAUAUAUGUACAUAUGUCCGAAAAACAAUGAAAGACGUAUAUUGUGCUAAUACAAUUUAUAAUAUUUGUCUUUAUUCGAUUUUAUAUGGUUUAGCUAAUUUUAUAUUUUAAAUGUUAGUUUUAUACAAAGGUUGUCGAUUUAAUCAACUGCUUGCUGCGGAUGGAUGGUGAAAAACGAAUGAAGAUACGUGAAUCGGAACGCAGGUCGAAAAAGAAGAAAUCGCGGGUAUCAUUGACGAUCCUUUCUAUUCCUUUUUGUGUGGUGUACGGUGUUGUUAUGUGUGUGGGUGUGUUGAUGUGACAGUUUUCUUCUGUUCUGUGGUGAGUGUGGUGAAUGUUAUGUAUCAGUGGUGUGGAUUUGGAUAAAUGUUGUGUGCCAGUGUGGUAUGUUGAUGCUUAGUGAGUGUGGAUGAAUGUUACAGUUGGGGGUUGAGCCAGACUCAUUUAAACAUCCCGGCCCCCCUAGGCGAAUGUUUUAGCCUAGCAGUCGCUGUAGUUGUUAUAGCGUACCUACAAGGCUACUAAGGCUUGUGUUGCGCCAAGACUGUGAUCCGAAUUGGUCGUCAAGUUGAUCGACAAUAUAUGGUAAUUUUUGUGUUAGUUUGAAUGGAUUAUUCGUUACGGACUUAUUCGACUGUCCUUGUGUAUGCACUAAUGUAUGUUGUUGCGCGUAUGAGAGCUCGUGAUAGAGAUCAAUGGCUUUUUUACAUUGCAUUAUUACUUUUGGAUUACUUAUUAUGGACUUAUUCGACUGUCCUUGUGUAUGCACUAAUGUAUGUUGUUGCGCGUAUGAGAGCUCGUGAUAGAGAUCAAUGGCUUUUUUACAUAUGUGUGCAUGUAUGUGCAUAUAUUUAAGAAAAUAUAAUAUGGUUUGUGCAAUCCGGCUUGUUUUUCAUUAAACAUGUUUAAAAAUGUUUGUAGGGUGUUGAGGAAUAGACAGAUUAUAUGUAGUAUAAAUGUUAGUAUGUUUGCGCGAUAAGAAGAGCGUGAAAACGGAAUAGGUAAUAUGCGGUUAUUUUAUCCACUGCACCUUUUCAUUACUUAUUGGUUACUAUGCAGCUUACUGCUUUCAGAAGCUGAAGGCGUAUCGCCGGAACAUAUUGCAAGUGUCCAUGUGCAUAUUUAUAUACUUGAAUAUGUUUUUUAUAUGUGUUAUGUAUAUUUAUAUACAAAUGUAAGCGCAUUGGCAAUUUGUGGUGUAUAUAUGUAUGUAAGUUUGUAUAUAUUUUGUAAGUCGUGUAUCUCUUUUUUAUAUCGGUAUUUUGAUUUUUACCGUCAAUUAUAAUCAUAAAUUAUAGCCGUUUAAAUGGUUUUUGGUUACAGAUGUUAUUUUAUCUAAGCCGAAUUUUUGCAUAUAAAUAAAUAAAAUCUGGAAUCGAUACAACUCAAUUUAUACCGCUUAAAGAGGUAUGGGAAUGUGUAUAGAUUGUGAGUUUAUAUUGCGUUUUCCGAUCCAAUUUAUUUGCUCCUAUUCUACAGGCUGCCAGCUGUUCUGUUGCUCGCUGUGCUUUGUUUCUGUUAUAAUGCAGCUGGAGGUGUGUAUAUUGUUGUUGUUAUUUUCGAGCCCGUUUUUGUUACAUUCACAUUAUGUUGAUUAUGUUAUGUUAAUGUUUAGUGCUUAGUUUACCGCCCGUUUGUUUUUGUAUUUAUGUUUGUUUUUUAUUUAUUUUUCUUCUGGACGAGUGAUACUUAUAUUGCAUACUUGUUUUGCACUGUUUCUUUCUUUUUGUUAUAAGUUUGUAUACUUAUAUGAUUGUGUAUAUUUAUACUCUCGCAACAAAAGUUGUUGUUUUAUUUAAAUAUUUUGCGCAGUUGUAUAUUUUAUUAUUGUGUUAGUCACUGCACAUUUAUUUUAUAAGAAUAUAUAUUCCGUUCACUGCAAUUAUUUACUUUUCUUUUUGUAUUUCCGAAUUUUUGUCACCGCAUUUUAUGAUUUUAAUGUGUAUGUAUUUUAUUUGAUUUUUUGGUAGUAUCACCAAUAGUGCCUUUCAGUAAGGCUCGAAGGACCAUGAAUAAUAGGGUGCAUAGCCUCUCACUAGUUUUGGACGCACUCUGUUAAUAUCCAUAUAUGUACAUAUGUCCGAAAAACAAUGAAAGACGUAUAUUGUGCUAAUACAAUUUAUAAUAUUUGUCUUUAUUCGAUUUUAUAUGGUUUAGCUAAUUUUAUAUUUUAAAUGUUAGUUUUAUACAAAGGUUGUCGAUUUAAUCAACUGCUUGCUGCGGAUGGAUGGUGAAAAACGAAUGAAGAUACGUGAAUCGGAACGCAGGUCGAAAAAGAAGAAAUCGCGGGUAUCAUUGACGAUCCUUUCUAUUCCUUUUUGUGUGGUGUACGGUGUUGUUAUGUGUGUGGGUGUGUUGAUGUGACAGUUUUCUUCUGUUCUGUGGUGAGUGUGGUGAAUGUUAUGUAUCAGUGGUGUGGAUUUGGAUAAAUGUUGUGUGCCAGUGUGGUAUGUUGAUGCUUAGUGAGUGUGGAUGAAUGUUACAGUUGGGGGUUGAGCCAGACUCAUUUAAACAUCCCGGCCCCCCUAGGCGAAUGUUUUAGCCUAGCAGUCGCUGUAGUUGUUAUAGCGUACCUACAAGGCUACUAAGGCUUGUGUUGCGCCAAGACUGUGAUCCGAAUUGGUCGUCAAGUUGAUCGACAAUAUAUGGUAAUUUUUGUGUUAGUUUGAAUGGAUUAUUCGUUACGGACUUAUUCGACUGUCCUUGUGUAUGCACUAAUGUAUGUUGUUGCGCGUAUGAGAGCUCGUGAUAGAGAUCAAUGGCUUUUUUACAUUGCAUUAUUACUUUUGGAUUACUUAUUAUGGACUUAUUCGACUGUCCUUGUGUAUGCACUAAUGUAUGUUGUUGCGCGUAUGAGAGCUCGUGAUAGAGAUCAAUGGCUUUUUUACAUAUGUGUGCAUGUAUGUGCAUAUAUUUAAGAAAAUAUAAUAUGGUUUGUGCAAUCCGGCUUGUUUUUCAUUAAACAUGUUUAAAAAUGUUUGUAGGGUGUUGAGGAAUAGACAGAUUAUAUGUAGUAUAAAUGUUAGUAUGUUUGCGCGAUAAGAAGAGCGUGAAAACGGAAUAGGUAAUAUGCGGUUAUUUUAUCCACUGCACCUUUUCAUUACUUAUUGGUUACUAUGCAGCUUACUGCUUUCAGAAGCUGAAGGCGUAUCGCCGGAACAUAUUGCAAGUGUCCAUGUGCAUAUUUAUAUACUUGAAUAUGUUUUUUAUAUGUGUUAUGUAUAUUUAUAUACAAAUGUAAGCGCAUUGGCAAUUUGUGGUGUAUAUAUGUAUAUGUUAUUUUAUCUAAGCCGAAUUUUUGCAUAUAAAUAAAUAAAAUCUGGAAUCGAUACAACUCAAUUUAUACCGCUUAAAGAGGUAUGGGAAUGUGUAUAGAUUGUGAGUUUAUAUUGCGUUUUCCGAUCCAAUUUAUUUGCUCCUAUUCUACAGGCUGCCAGCUGUUCUGUUGCUCGCUGUGCUUUGUUUCUGUUAUAAUGCAGCUGGAGGUGUGUAUAUUGUUGUUGUUAUUUUCGAGCCCGUUUUUGUUACAUUCACAUUAUGUUGAUUAUGUUAUGUUAAUGUUUAGUGCUUAGUUUACCGCCCGUUUGUUUUUGUAUUUAUGUUUGUUUUUUAUUUAUUUUUCUUCUGGACGAGUGAUACUUAUAUUGCAUACUUGUUUUGCACUGUUUCUUUCUUUUUGUUAUAAGUUUGUAUACUUAUAUGAUUGUGUAUAUUUAUACUCUCGCAACAAAAGUUGUUGUUUUAUUUAAAUAUUUUGCGCAGUUGUAUAUUUUAUUAUUGUGUUAGUCACUGCACAUUUAUUUUAUAAGAAUAUAUAUUCCGUUCACUGCAAUUAUUUACUUUUCUUUUUGUAUUUCCGAAUUUUUGUCACCGCAUUUUAUGAUUUUAAUGUGUAUGUAUUUUAUUUGAUUUUUUGGUAGUAUCACCAAUAGUGCCUUUCAGUAAGGCUCGAAGGACCAUGAAUAAUAGGGUGCAUAGCCUCUCACUAGUUUUGGACGCACUCUGUUAAUAUCCAUAUAUGUACAUAUGUCCGAAAAACAAUGAAAGACGUAUAUUGUGCUAAUACAAUUUAUAAUAUUUGUCUUUAUUCGAUUUUAUAUGGUUUAGCUAAUUUUAUAUUUUAAAUGUUAGUUUUAUACAAAGGUUGUCGAUUUAAUCAACUGCUUGCUGCGGAUGGAUGGUGAAAAA